UACUAGAGUAGCACUCGCAUAUCAAUAAGCGGAGGAAAAGAAACUAACAAGGAUUCCCCUAGUAACGGCGAGUGAAGCGGGAAGAGCUCAAAUUUGAAAUCUUAAAGGGUUUCCCUUUACGAAUUGUAGUUUAAAGAAGUGUUUUCUGUUGAGGUUUUGGUAAAAGUUCUUUGGAAUAGGACAUCAUAGAGGGUGAGAAUCCCGUAUUUGACCUUUACUUUCAACUUUGUGAUACACUUUCAAAGAGUCGGAUUGUUUGGGAAUGCAGUCCAAAAUGGGUGGUAAAUUUCAUCUAAAGCUAAAUAUUGGCGAGAGACCGAUAGCGAACAAGUACCGUGAGGGAAAGAUGAAAAGAACUUUGAAAAGAGAGUUAAACAGUACGUGAAAUUGUCAAAAGGGAAGCGUUUGACACCAGUGUUGUUUUUCUGAAAAUCAAUUAAAGAACUGUUUAUGCUAAGUUGUUUAGACUUUAUCAGCUAUCUGUUUAGUUUUGAGCUUUUCUUUAAUGCACUCUUCAGUUAACAAGUCAACAUCAAUUUCUUUUGCUGUAAAAAAGCUUGAGGAAGGUGGCUUGAGAUUCGUCUUAAGUGUUUAUAGCCUCUUGCCUAUGCAGUCGGAGAGAUUGAGGUCUGCAGCGUAGAUCCUUCGGGGCUAAAUGCAUUUGUGCUAAGUUAUAGCAUUUUAUAGACAACUUGUUGACUAUGAUUUGUCUUGUAGCUUACUCGCUUAUGUUAUUUUACCUACGCUUAGGAUGUUGAACUACUGAGACAUAGA
rnacentral:rRNA from 1 species